GGAACAAUAGCAUAUUGGUCGUUGCAUCUGUGUUGCACGGAAGGUCCCCAGUUCGAAACUGGGUUGUUUCA